AAAUGAACGAGGUAAAGUUAAUCGAAUAUAUACAAACUUUAAACUCUUCUAACGUAGAAGACACGAAGGUGCCGGAUGUAGUGUUUUACGAGAUUGUGCAUCAACCGACAACAAGCAAUGCCUUGGAGUGCGGUAGCUGCAGUACCCUGCAAGCGCGGUUGGUGGAACUGGAGGCUAAGAUUUCCGCUCAGGAGCAGCACCUCGCGCGGCUGGAAGAGUUGGAAGCUAAAGUUUCCGGUCAACAGGAGUUGGAGAAACGCAUCGCGGGGCUAGAGGAGCAGAUUUCCACUCAGCAGACGAUGUUUUCGGCGCCGCCAGUCGCAAUGCAAGUGCAAGUCAUCACCGUUCCAGCUCCAUCCGACCCGCAGCUCCCUGCAUCCAAUUCAGAUGAACUUCCACAGCUUCCGCAGCUUCCGGUGCGCUGUCUGGAGCAGCUCCGAAAUUUGGAAGCAGCGUCGCCACAGUGUUUACCACAAGUGCUAGAGUACAUGUUGUCCAAGAAAAAACCUAGCCCCAAAUUAAAAGGGGACGAUGUUUUGAAAAAAAUAGUUGAUUUCUAUUUUGAUCGGCAAUUUUUGAAUACUUGUGUGUGGAUGUGGCCGAGAGCCAAAAGACCCAUUGCGUUGUCGAAGUAUACAAGAACCUUACGGGUGCUGUAUAAGGUAACGCAGCAUUACGACGAUAACUAUGAGUAUAAAGAGUUUCAAAGAAAAAUGUCCUCCUACGUCAAAUACGCGCAGUUUAGAUGCAAAGCCAAGCCUCGACGAUUUUUGUAACAACAACUACAGUCCAAUCCACCCAAAAACUAAAGGUGCCUUCCCUAACACAUAGACACAGAGAGUUUCUGGUGUGGCUGGAACUCUGCAUGCCACACUCUUGGACUUCCAGUAUGCACCAGUAUUCUGAAUGAGAUCAGCUCCAGCGAGGAUCGUGAACGUGCUGUUAAGUCCAACGAACCAGCCUAUGUCGCCGAUGUCGUAGGGUGGAAACGGGUUCGCGAUUGCUGAUCCUGUGGCAUGAGAUCGAUCAAACGCAACAGAAUGGUGAGCGAGGGAUCAUCUCUCGAAUCAUUCGUCGAAGGUUC